rnacentral:SRP_RNA from 1 species
CGCGACCCCCCGCGUGGCGACGUCCCGUAAACCCCCCAGGGCCGGAAGGCAGCAAGGGUACCCGGGCUCCGUCGGGUGCGCGGGGGGUCACUUUC